UUAACUGAGUCUCUGAAGCCAAAGCUUGUUAAAUUUAUACUUCCAUUGACAUAAAAAGCUAGUUUGAUUUUAAACAAGCCGUUUCAGGAGCAGAGUAACUGGAAUCCUUCAUGGAGAAGCUUGAAUUGAGCGCUUUGGGCUUCCUGACAGGGUUGCGGAAGGCGCUUUAUAAAUAAAGCUUUGAUUGAUUGAUUGAUUGAAUGUCUGCUGGUAAGUUUAAUCUAAUACAGCGGCUGUAACAUGUUGUAGUUCUGUCCCAGUGAAGUAAAACCCAAAGUACUCAGGCAGAACUACAACUAUAAGGAACGAAAAAAAUCCCACAAAAUGUUUUUUUUAAGAAAAAAGCAAAUAAUGAGUAAACAUGCAGAACUGAGAUGUGAAUAAAUGUUAUUUUAUCACUUUUUAUGGGAAAUCUGGAUUUAUUUAAGAUUUCCUAGAGCAGAAGUUCAAUGAAAAACCAUUUUUUCUUUAUUCUUUUUUAAAUAUGAUCGGUCACUCUGAGUUUCACAUGCAUGAAGAACAUUAAAAUUGCCUUCUAGCUCCAUCGCCUGAAUUAGCCGUCAGAAAAGUAAGUAGACGAGGAAACGGUCAGGCCCUUCCACGCCACAGAGAAAUGGGUUUAUGGCCUCAAACACCUUCGCUUGCAACCUCAGAGAGCUGUGUUGAUUUAGCAGCCAGGAGAGAGCAGAGCACGUCUAGGCUAGUAGAAGCUAACCAUUAGCAUUAGCAACUCCACCACACGGCAGAACUUUUUCAGGUUAUUUGUGGAGAUAAAACAUCAAUGUUGGUGAGUGAACAGUCAGUGAUUGCGUUGAAAUUAGCCAAUGAGAAGAGACAUGUUCACAUAUCAUGAAUAAUAAUGAGUUAGACGCCAAACUCACGGUUUUCUGCUUCCUAAAAGAGGAGCGCCAGAGCUGUUUAUCCACAAAAAUGAAUCACAAGGCUUUGUUGCUACAAGAGACCACUGCAAAUAUAUUGAUGUUUAUGUAUUUAGCAGACGCUUUUGUCCAAAGCGACUUACAUGUGAUAAUCGGCAUAUUGCCCUUGAGGCUAACAACAACAAUAACAACAACUUGACAUCAAUCAUGAAGAGGAGGGAACAAGGAGUAGACGGUAGAGAGGGGGGACGGGUGCAGGGAGGGUGCUAGUUUAGAAGAUGCUCUCUGAAGAGCAGGGUCUUCAGGAGUUUCUUGAAAAUUGAAAAUGAAGCCGCUGUUCUGGUAGUGCUUGGAAGGUCGUUCCACAUUUGUGGAACGAUGCAUGAGAAGAGUCUGGAUUGUCCUGAGCGUGGUGUAGGCACUGCUAGCCGACGAUCCUGUGAUGACCGGAGCGGCCGGGCCGAGACGUAAGCCUUUGCAAGAGGAUUCAGGUAGAUGGGAGCCGUACCAUCUCAGACUUUGUAUGCUAGUGUUAGCAAUUUGAAUUUGAUGCGUGCUGCUAGCGGUAGCCAGUGGAGCUCAAUGAACAGAGGGGUGAUGUGUGCUCUUUUUGGCUGAUUGAAGACCAGACGCGCCGCUGCGUUCUGGACCAUUUGAAGAGGUCUCACAGUACAGCCUGGAAGACCAGUUAGAAGGGCAUUGCAGUAAUCGAGGCGGGAGAUGACAGUAGAUUGCACCACGAGCUGGGCGGCAUGUUGUAUUAGGUAUGGUCUGAUCUUUCGUAUGUUAUACAGCGCAAAGCGGCAUGGACGCUGAAAUUACAGGUGUGGGCCCACUUUAAAGAACAAGUCACCCACUACCAGAGUAUUACUCCACUCCCACUUCCUGUUUGAAAAAUGCAACAAAUGCUGUUGCCUAGCAGACCGAGAGGGUGGAGCCGCUAACAAAUACACACACACACGACAUUGUGGCUGCAUCUCAAUUCAGGGUCUGCAUCCUACGUCGGCCGGAUUCGUCGGCCGGUUACGUCACAGCGCCGCGACUAGGCCUGUCCCAAUUCGAAGACUCCUUCAAAUGUGGUCGACGAAUCCGGCCUUCUUUUUGCCUGAAUGAAGGAUGGGUCCGGUGUAUCCAUCAAUGGGUAGCAUUUCCCAAGAUGCCUUGCGGGCCGGCCGGUAGAAAAACGGCGGACAGUGAAGCGGGAGCUGUUGGAGAGGAUUGCGCAUAUAAAUGUCAGUAUAAACUUGAAAACUGUUAGGUUAUGGACUUUUGGUGAUACAUGAACGUUAUUUUAGUUAGAAAUGUUACAGUAAAAGUGCUUGUAUUGCAGUCUCGGCUCGUAUGUUCGGCCGCUCGGUGUCGUACUUCUCCCGCUUCGUUUCCCCCCUGAUUUUAAUAGAAGUUUGUAUUUUAGGUACAAGAGAAAACCAGGGAAUUUAUUAAGCUUAGGGAGGAGAUGGACCACAUGAUCACUGGAGCAAAGUAUUCGGCGGCUGUGGCAUGGAGACUAUUCUGGAGAAAAUGGGCAUCCAGGGGAAGGUGCCAGCGAUGACCAGCUUCUGGAGCUGAUCAGGGAGGACAUGAGGCUGCAGAGGGAGGCAGAGCAGCAGAGGGCAGGAGAGAAGGGAGAAUUUUGACAGCUUUUUACUUUGCUAGAAAAAAAUGGUUAAUAAAGAUUAAACAUGUACAUAUAAAAGAAAUAUCUAAAUAAAAUCAGUUCUGCAUUAAA